ensembl:lncRNA
AAAUGCCCCAACUGCCCCCAGGUCCUGCCCUGUGCCACUAAGAUUUGUAAGGCCUGUGGGGCAGAGCAGCCCAAGAAGGCUCGUUUGAUGAAGAGGCUGCAGGCCCUUGAUAUGAAGAAGGGGGAGUGACUUGGCAAUCUUAAAAAAACCCACAAUGAGGCAGCCAUGCGGGAUGAAGCCAUCAUUUUGCUUGAGAAGCUACAUGCAAUGGGCUACAAGCCACUCCUCCUCGUUCAGAAGGAAGGAAAUGGCAAAAAACCUAAAAUAACUUCCCUCACCCCAGGAUGUGAGCUGGACCCGCUGGCUACACAACACCUCAGCAAAAUGACAGCAUUUUUAUGAGUUGGUUUGUGCAGGUGAGAUGUACAGUAUACAGUUGGAGAAGGCGGGGCUGGAAGGCCUUGUGGAGGAGGCGGGGCUGGAAGGCCCCGGUGUAGAAGCUGAAGGCUUCGUGGAGGAGGUGGAGCUGGAAGGCCCCGCUGUGGAGACGGCAGGCCUUUUGGAGAAGGUGGGGCUGAAAAGCCCUGCUGUGGAGGCUGAAGGCCUCGUGGAGGAGGCGGGUGAAAUACAUCUACCUAAAAAAGCCCACAGAGGCAGAAAUGGAUAAAAAAAAAAAGAAAAAAAAGGGAAGUUUAAAUGACUUAAUACACUUGCAUUCAGAUUUGAUAUUUGAUCACUUUGAUGUGAAUGCUUGACCUGGAUAUGUUAAUGAUGUUGUUGUGUUCCUAAUCUGAGUUUUGAUGCCUUCAGAUUGCUCCUACCACACAGGCCUGGGUGUUUAUCCAAUUAGGAGUGCUCUGAAAGAAAGAGUGAGGAAGGUAAGACAUGCAUAACAGAACACCAUACUACUCUUUAUUUGUUCUAUUUACAUCAAACUAAAGUCAAGCUGUUAAGUUAAAAUAUCUCUCAAUCACAGAAGUAAAGCUGGGAAAUAGUCAAAUAAUGUAAAUAUUGUAUACAGUAUAUACUACAGCCUCUUGACUAAAAUACUUUAAAUAUCAUGUUAAAACAUGAAACAGGAAACAUGGCUAUUACCAAAGCCUGAUGCAAAAAAUAUGUAAGCAUGUAUUGUUGUUCCUGUCAUUGGGCCAAACAGAAUUGCUGAUUGACUCUGGGAGCCUUGUGCAGCAUGGUGUGUGUUCUACUAUAUGACAAAUACAGAAAUAAGAUUGCUCUCACUCUCUAUUUCACUCUCACACUCACACAGGUUUUGAAGUCAAUCGCUUUUACCUUGACCUGUUUUGAAGAAUGUUCUAAUGUGUUUCAAUCGAAUAAUUGAAAUAUCACAUGUAACAUAAUUGUCUCCCUUCUGUUUUCAGUGGGAAACAGUGGACUCCUACUUGGGAGCCCAAGAAGUCAUUUGUUUAAGUUAAUUCAUUUUGUAUAUUUCUAUACAAAGUAAAGUGUUGUUUACAAGCCCUGUGUUGAAGAUGGUAGAUGUUCAACAUUUCCUGCCAUUUCAGAACUCCACACAGAAACAUGUUCUUCUUUUGAUAUGUGGUUUAUCAAGAGGUUAGUAAAUUAUUCAACCGAGCAAAAUGUGUGCCCAAAUGGAAGCAGGACUCUGUACAUGCUGUAAGUCAGAUGCAAUUUACUGUAAAUUAAAAAAAAAAUAAAAAAAUCCCUCGCGAAUGACUGUUAAUAAUU